UCCCUAUAAAGUGUCUCAAAAG
rnacentral:snRNA from 1 species